rnacentral:misc_RNA from 1 species
CCAAUAGCGUAUAUUAAAGUUGUUGCAGUUAAAAAGCUCGUAGUUGAACUUCGGGGUUCACCCAUUGGUCAGGCUUAAUUGUCUGUACUGGUGAGAUGAGUCUCUACCUUCUGAGGAACUUUCAUGCCAUUUGUUUGGUGUGAUUGGAAAUCAGGACUGUUACUUUGAAAAAAUUAGAGUGUUUAAAGCAGGCUAACGUCUGAAUACAUUAGCAUGGAAUAAUGAAAUAGGACGGAUUGAUUCUAUUUCGUUGGUUUCUAGGGUCACCGUAAUGAUUAAUAGGGAUAGUUGGGGGCAUUAGUAUUCAAUUGUCAGAGGUGAAAUUCUUGGAUUUAUUGAAGACUAACUACUGCGAAAGCAUUUGCCAAGGAUGUUUUCAUUAAUCAAGAACGAAAGUUAGGGGAUCGAAGACGAUCAGAUACCGUCGUAGUCUUAACCAUAAACUAUGCCGACUAGGGAUCGGACGAAGUUAAUUUUAUAAUGACGCGUUCGGCACCUUACG